rnacentral:rRNA from 1 species
AGGGAAUCUUCCACAAUGGACGAAAGUCUGAUGGAGCAACGCCGCGUGAGUGAAGAAGGUUUUCGGAUCGUAAAGCUCUGUUGUUGGUGAAGAAGGAUAGAGGUAGUAACUGGCCUUUAUUUGACGGUAAUCAACCAGAAAGUCACGGCUAACUACGUGACAGCAGCCGCGGUAAUACGUAGGUGGCAAGCGUUGUCCGGAUUUAUUGGGCGUAAAGCGAGCGCAGGCGGAAGAAUAAGUCUGAUGUGAAAGCCCUCGGCUUAACCGAGGAACUGCAUCGGAAACUGUUUUUCUUGAGUGCAGAAGAGGAGAGUGGAACUCCAUGUGUAGCGGUGGAAUGCGUAGAUAUAUGGAAGAACACCAGUGGCGAAGGCGGCUCUCUGGUCUGCAACUGACGCUGAGGCUCGAAAGCAUGGGUAGCGAACAGG